rnacentral:rRNA from 1 species
AGAGUUCGAUUAUGGCUCAGGACGAACGCUGGCGGCGCGCCUAACACAUGCAAGUCGAACGGAGUCAAGAGGAGCUUGCUUUUCUUGACUUAGUGGCGAACGGGUGAGUAACGCGUGAGUAACCUGCCCUGGAGUGGGGGACAACAGUUGGAAACGACUGCUAAUACCGCAUAAGCCCACGGAUCCGCAUGGAUCUGCGGGAAAAGGAUUUAUUCGCUUCAGGAUGGACUCGCGUCCAAUUAGCUAGUUGGUGAGGUAACGGCCCACCAAGGCGACGAUUGGUAGCCGGACUGAGAGGUUGAACGGCCACAUUGGGACUGAGACACGGCCCAG